rnacentral:rRNA from 1 species
CCGCCUGGGGAGUACGGCCGCAAGGUUAAAACUCAAAUGAAUUGACGGGGGCCCGCACAAGCGGUGGAGCAUGUGGUUUAAUUCGAUGCAACGCGAAGAACCUUACCUGGUCUUGACAUCCACGGAAGAAUCCAGAGAUGGAUUUGUGCCUUCGGGAACCGUGAGACAGGUGCUGCAUGGCUGUCGUCAGCUCGUGUUGUGAAAUGUUGGGUUAAGUCCCGCAACGAGCGCAACCCUUAUCCUUUGUUGCCAGCGGUUAGGUCGGGAACUCAAAGGAGACUGCCAGUGAUAAACUGGAGGAAGGUGGGGAUGACGUCAAGUCAUCAUGGCCCUUACGACCAGGGCUACACACGUGCUACAAUGGCGCAUACAAAGAGAAGCGACCUCGCGAGAGCAAGCGGACCUCAUAAAGUGCGUCGUAGUCCGGAUUGGAGUCUGCAACUCGACUCCAUGAAGUCGGAAUCGCUAGUAAUCGUGGAUCAGAAUGCCACGGUGAAUACGUUCCCGGGCCUUGUACACACCGCCCGUCACACCAUGGGAGUGGGUUGCAAAAGAAGUAGGUAGCUUAACCUUCGGGAGGGCGCUUACCACUUUGUGAUUCAUGACUGGGGUGAAGUCGUAACAAGGUAACCGUAGGGGAACCUGCGGUUGGAUCACCUCCUUACCUGAAAGAAGC